AGGCCUUGUCUGAUGCCAUUAAAAAAUGGCAGGAACUAUCACCAGAAACCAGUGGAAAAAGGAAGAAGAGAAAACAAAUGAACCAGUAUUCUUACAUGGAUUUCAAGUUUGAACAAGGUGCAUGCAGGAGCUGUGGCAGGGGCUGCUGGUGUGGCAGCAGGAGGAGCCCUCUGAGUUUGACUUGGCCUACGCCGACUUCCUCUCCCCAGGCAUCAGCAUGCUGCGGCUCUUUGAGACCUUCUUGGAGACGGCACCACAGUUCACGCUGGUGCUGGCCGUCAUGCUGCAGAGCGGCCGGGCUGAGUAUUACCAGUCCUAGGGGAGGCAACCGCCUCAGUAACGAUCCUAAUUGGAUCCAACUGGGGAACUCCAGAAAGUUUCAGUAACAAAUUUGCAACGGUUCUGGGCCUUUUAAUAUGGAUUCACAAAAGAUAAUGAGGCUAUCCUGUCAUUUCUACCCUAUGGAUGAGGAAACUGACAUUCAGACAGUCCAUGGGAUCUACCCACUCUGUCAUAAAGAACCGAAGGACCAACAUUCGCGACAGGACCUCCCGUUUGGCAUUUCGUUUUCAGAUGUGCCUAGAAGAAGGAGACAACAGCUUCUUAGACUGUUGAAACCUGUUUCUGCUUGAGUUGUCAAGAUAUCACCUAAAUCCUAUCCACAUUUUGUGCACCGGGUUUGUGGACGCCUACCACCAUUCAUUCAUUGCAGUGGCUCAGAGAAGAUGAAAAGAGGACUCUUUGUGGCCAAUGAAGAUCCUUGACAGAGCUCAGAUGACCAGAGUGGACUGGCUUCUACCCUAAAUACACAUCACAAUAUUUCUUGCUCUGACCUUGCUCCACUUUAUACAACACCACACAGCUCGAGAGUGGCAGAGCUGCCGUGGGAACCCGAAUGCCAUCUGACUCCAAAGCCUUUCUCUCAACCACCACUCUGAUGCCUCCUAUUCUUUCCUGAAAUCUUCAGUAUAGUCAUUAUUAUGAAGUAAAAAAAAAAGAAAAAGGAAGGAAGGUAGAGGGAGCCCCUCUGUCUCCAUUCUUUGUUUCCGUGAAGAACCUCCAGUCUAUUUUCAGGAGUGUGCUGUUGGUGUAUCACAUUUUCUGGCCCACUCUCUCCCAUUUCUGUCACUCAUUGUCCCCCAGGAAGAAGCGACAUGUGGAUGGUAAGACUGGAAGAAGCCACUCUUACUUUCGGUGGUGUGCUGGUAAAUGUUUAACAGCUGGCUUUGGGGCAGCGAGAAAGCACUGGAUUGUAGCAUGUGCCGAUCUCCAUGGUGUAAAAACACUUCCACCAUAGCUGCUUCCAAGUAUGUAAAUUGUACCUCAAUAAAGCCAAUUUAAAAAGUAAAGUCAACCAGUUUUUGAAACUCUUGAGACUUUAACAUUCAGUCCAGCAAGCUGUUACCUACUGGAUCCAGCAACACACAACCCGUAACACGGUGAGCUGGGUCUCAGCUCCCCACUCUUCACAGACCCCAGAGCUCUCUCCCCUUUGUGAGGUUCCUCAUCCAUCCUUCCAUUGCUUCUGCUGCUGCCCUGAAGGCAUCACGUCUCUCCCCUCUCCUCCUGGGGCACCUCUCUUAACAGUUUAGGACUUUGAGGAGUUUUGCCUUUCACAAAAAGAAAGAAAGAAGGGGGGAAAAAGGUUGUGUCUCAGCAGCUUUUGCUGUCUACCCUGCAGCACAAAUUCACUUGAUGGAGGAACACAAAGGUCAGACUCCCUGAUGUGAAGAGGAGAAAAGGAAAUUCAAAUUUGGAAGGAACUCUACUCUCCCCUGCUCUGUCCUCCACAAGAGAAUGGGGCAGAACAUUCUUUAGUCUAUACCUCUGUUCCACAUGUGUUGCCAAAGACCGCAGUGCCUGGUGGGUGACAUCUCUCCAGGCUUUUGAAGACAUCUGAGCCUGGAUUUUGAGCACAUUCCUGAUCUCCCUACUGGGAGGGUCUUCUCCCUCAAGGUCUGCCUUCUGACAAGCCCUAGGUCUUUCCCACCUCCAGUGGCUGGGUGGGCCGGGGAGAGGCGGGUCAGGGUAGAGAUGUGAGCGCAUUGUGAUUGGCAGCCCCGCUAGAACCCCGUGGAGUGGAGAAGUGACCUUCUUCAAAGGAGGGGAGCAUGCAGUUUCUGGAAGGAGGAAGGAUGCGGUGAGAACCAAACGCAUCCAUGCAGGAUUUCAAGUCUAAACGACCUACUCCUGGCAACCAAAGCUGGAGUAAGCAUAAGAAUGUAAGAGAUGGGAGCUUCGGCGAGGGCACGUGACCGAAACCUCCCAUAACACUCCACCUGCCCCAGUCCAGCCAGCUUGCUGUCUACAGUGUGCCCACCAAUGUAUCAAGCCUCAGCGCUUUGUUUCCUGGGAUCCUGGCCAGGCUCCCAUUAACCUCCUGUGUUGUCCCCACAGCUCCUGUACAUGGGAGAGGGCCUGCUUUGGGCCAGAUCCCAGAGCUGGGCCUAAUUUGUGAUGAGAUGCCCUGGGAGGCAAGCGUGCUUCAGCGUGUACCCGAUCAAUAGCCGGACACCCAGGUCCAGAGGUGUCUUGAGUCCGUCAGCAGGACGUUGGGCAGCUCUAGGUUCAGAACCUCUGCAGUUUUUCCCUUGGCUUUCCCGGGGCUUGUCCACAGCGCCCCCUGCUGCCCAUUCUUGGUUGACUUUGUGUCUUGUGGAUCCCUCAUCAGAUCUGUUCAUGAAGCCUAACGCAAGGUCCUCCCUCCAGGGUGACACAGUGAAGUCAAGUAACAGAUGUGGAGAUGCUUUGGAGAGCUUGAAACAGAAGACUACAUAAUGGCAAUGGGCCAGUAUCAUAAAGCCAAGAUUGAAGAAGACAGAACUGAAUGCCUCCCUCAUUUGCAAAACUUGCCUUAUCUUUCAGUAUCAUGCUGUUUCAGGGGACAGAAAUCAAUCCAUCGUAUAUUUGAGCCCUGCUCUUAUAACCAAGUUAAAUUUUGCCUAAAAUAAGGCCCUGCCUCAGGCAGAUCAUGGUUUAUUUUUUAUUUUAUUUUAUUUUUUUGAGAUGGAGUCUCACUCUGUCGCCCAGGCUGGAGUGCAGUGGUGCAAUCUCCUCUCACCACAAUCUCCAUCUCCUGGGUUCAAGUGAUUCUCACCUCAGCCUCUCAAGUAGCUGGGAUUACAGGCACGCACCACCAUGCCUGGCUAAUUUUUGUAUUUUUAGUAGAGACGGGGUUUCACCAUGUUGGCCAGGCUGGUCUUGAACUCCUGGCCUCAAGUGAUCCUCCCACCUUGACAUCCCAAAGUGCUGGGAUUACAGGCGUGAACCAUCACACCUGGCCAAAUCAUGGUUUAAAAAAGGGAGAUGGUCAAAUAUAAUUGUUAUGACUGCCAUAGUACUUACUGUGUGCCAGAUACUUUGUCUAGGUUUUUAACCCUUACAACACAUCCCUAAAACAUUGUACAGAUGAAAAAGCAGAGGCACAAAGAGGCUUAAAGCAUCCCCAAAGUCACAUAGUUACUAUAAAGCCAGUAAUUGGCUCUAUGUCUAUCUGACUCCAAAAUCUGUUUUGUCCCCUUCUGUGCCUAUGCACAGAAGGCAGUGGGAACAUGAAUGGAGGUGGAGGGAGGGGUAAGAAGGAGACAUCAGUGGUCUACCCUCUUUAUGUGAAAACAGACUCCCUCUUUUAUCUGACAGCUGCUCCCUGACAAGAGGAAUACCCAUUCUUUCUUCCUAGGUCAAGAAAGAGAGUCCAAGGCAUGGUCAAUCACAACGCUGUCCCUCCAGUCAUGGGCCAAGUGCUGGGCACACAUCACCAGCCAGGCUACUCUUAGCCUUUCCCGUAAUUUUAAUAACCUGAGACUGGGAGAAAGAAGCCUCACUCUCUCCUGGGGUGAUAAAACUGUAUGUAAGUCUAGAGUUCCCUGUGAGUACAGCCUCCCCUAGCAAGAAAGGAUGAGACCAACUCAUAAUAAGAAGCCAAAAUACGUGUAUAUAUGAGUGUGUGUGUGUGAGAGAGAGAGAGCUGACAGCAUUGUUUGAGUGUCUGGAUCUAGCCAUUCCUGUGGUGGCUCCGUCUUGUCCUUACUUAUAUGAGUUAAUACAUCCCCUUUUAAUUGAAGCUAGUUUGUGUUGGGUUUCUGUCCCUUAAAGUCAAGAGUCUUGAGAAAUACAAUAUCGGUCAAAAAAAGUCUUCAUAGAACGGGUGAACCAGGAAAAAAGGGAUUCACCAGAAAGAUAAGAAGAGACGCAGAGGGUGAAUGUAACAGCAGCUACACUUGAGGAAGUACGAGCAGCUCAGGAUGACUUGAGCCGAUAUGUGUAAUCCCAGCACUUUGGGAGGCCAAGGCAGGUGGAUCACCUGAGGUCAGGAGUUCAAGACCAGCCUGGCCAAAAUGGUGAAACCCCGUCUCUACUAAAAAUACAAAUAUUAGCCAGGCACUGUGGCGCACCCUUGUAAUCUCAGCUACACCAGAGGCUGAGGCAGCAGAAUCGCUUGAACCUAGGAGGUGGAGGUUGCAGUGAGCUGAGAUCGUGCCAGCCUGGGUGACGAGCGAAACUCUGUCAAAAGAAUCUAGUUGAACUAGAUUUGGUCUGAUGCAGUUACAGAUUUACAAACCGUGCCCCCACCCUCCUGCCAACACCUUCCACUCCUCAUUCUUGAGGGAUUAGGGGUGAUGGAGGUCAUGCUUCUGUAUCGGCUUCAUGCUGGCCAGGGGCACUGGGUCCCCUAAAGUGAAAGGAAUGAAACUCUUGGGCUUCUGAGUUCAAAUGAGUUCUGGGGUCACCUGGAGUAGCUUGAAGGGCUGGUAUUGUUGUAAUACAAUCUGAAGGUGGAAGUGUUGGAGCCUGGAGGACAGACAGCUCACCAUCCAUUUAAAUAAACAGGACCGAAAAGUAACAGAACAGUAGCCACGAGGGGCCCCAACAGAGGAAGAAACCAGGUGAGGUGUGGUAUAGUGGACUCGACUGCCUUCUAAAUCUCAGUGGUUGGCCGGGUGCAGUGGCUCACGCCUGUAAUUCCAGCAAAAGAAAACCCGAGGCAGGGUGAUCAUGAGGUCAGGAGUUCAAGACCAACCUGGCAGACAUGGUAAAGCCCCAUGUCUACUAAAAAUACAGAAAUUAGCCAGGCGUGGUGGUGUGUGCUGUAGUCCCAGCUACUCGGGAGGCUGAGGCAGGAGAAUCGCUUGAACCUGGGAGGCAGAGGUUGCAGUGAGCUGAGAUUUUGCCACUGCACUCCAGCCUAGGUAACAGAGCAGGACUCCAUCUCAAUCAAUCUAGCUAUCUUUCUCAGUGGUUGAACUACCCUUGAUAUGGUUCAGGUCUGUAUCCCCACCCAAAUCUCAUGUCAAAUUGUAAUUCCCAGUGUUGAGGGACGGAGCUGGUGGGAGAUGAUUGGCUCAUGGGGGCCAACUUCCCCCUUGCUGUUCUCCUGAUAGUGAGUGAGCGCUUAUGGGAUCUGGUUGUUGAAAAGUAUGCAUCAUCUCCCACUUCGCUCUCUCUGUCUCUCCCGCUCCACCAUGGCCAGACGUGCCUGCUUCCCUUUCGCCUUCUGCAUGAUUAUCAGUUUCCUGAGGCCUCCCCAGCCAUGCUUCCUGUACAACCUGCAGAACUGUUCCCUUGCUGUUCUGACAUCGGGUCCACACUCGAGAUGGAUUGCACCGCUUUUCACCAGACUGGGGAUCUCUCUUAACCUCCUAGACCCAGAGACGGACAUUGCUGUUUGCCCAGCCACCUGCAAUCCAGGAAGAGAGGCCUCAACAGACACCAAUUCUGAUGGUGCCUGGGUCUUCGACUUUCAGCCUCCAGAACUGUGAGAAAAUGAAUUUCUGCUAUUUAAGCCGCCUAGUUACGGUAUUUUGUUAUGGUAGCCCAAGACCUCCCUCCCCACCACCACCAACAAACACAUAUGUGUGGGGAGCCAAAUUCACAUUCCCAUGCAUUGGCAAAGCCUGCAGACAGGGAAGUAGGUGUCAUGGCAAAGACCUGACCACUGAAGAUCCUGUUAUGGGUAGCUUCCUGUUCUUACCAGAUCAGUGAAGCGCUGUGAAUGGCUUUUCAUAGUUAAUGGUUAGCACAGGACAGACUGCAGAGGCCGCAUCAAAGGAAGACAAAAACAAUUAUUGUGUGGAUUUUUAACCCCUGACAUGUAUAAAAGCACUGAAUAAACCAGAGCUUGUCGGCGCUUCCCUAUCAGGGGACUGUCCCUCCUAA